CCUACGGGGGGCAGCAGUGAGGAAUAUUGGUCAAUGGCCGCAGGGCUGAACCAGCCAAGUCGCGUGAGGGAUGACGGUCCUAUGGAUUGUAAACCUCUUUUGUCAGGGAGCAAAGGGCGCCACGUGUGGCGCUUUGCGAGUACCUGAAGAAAAAGCAUCGGCUAACUCCGUGCCAGCAGCCGCGGUAAUACGGAGGAUGCGAGCGUUAUCCGGAUUUAUUGGGUUUAAAGGGUGCGCAGGCGGAAUGUCAAGUCAGCGGUAAAAUUUCGGGGCUCAACCCCGUCGUGCCGUUGAAACUGGCGUUCUUGAGUGAGCGAGAAGUAUGCGGAAUGCGUGGUGGAGCGGUGAAAUGCAUAGAUAUCACGCAGAACUCCGAUUGCGAAGGCAGCAUACCGGCGCUCAACUGACGCUCAUGCACGAAAGCGUGGGUAUCGAACAGGAUUAGAUACCCCAGUAGUC
rnacentral:rRNA from 1 species